UCGAAUCCUUUGGAUGUUGCUGGCCUUUCGGGGCAUGUGCACUCCAACCUUUUUCAAUACACCUGUGAACUUAUUGUAGGCGACAAGACUUUGUCGCCUAUGUUUUUACCACACACUCUUGAAAUGUAUAUCGAAUGUCUAAAUGUGGCCUUUGAUUGGUCUACAAAACAUUAAUA
rnacentral:misc_RNA from 1 species